CUAAAACUGUAAGAGAGUUCCUGACUGUGACCCUUAACAGUCAUUCUCUUACCUUAUAACAAACCUAGAAAUGAGAAAAUGCUUGAGCAGAUUGGCCUGGUGGUGUGGGAGGAUGAAUGGAUUCUUGGGGAUAUUGGGGGUUAGCUUGAGCAGCACACCGAUGAUCCAGUAGCUUCAGUGAUCUCAGCCAGGAAGCUUAAAAUAGACCAGCAAGUGGAUCUGAGAUGUUUUUAGCAAGCUGGUUGCUGACUUACUGUGGCCUUUGCCAAAAUCAGCAAUCAGAGAAGGAAGAGAGGCUGGUUUACCACAUUUCUCCUUAGCUCCUGUUUCCCCACAGGUCUCCAUUAGGAUAUCAGCAAGUAAUUACUCAGUAAGUAAACCAUCUAUGUUGAGUUGCUUCUUUAAAAUUGGCUUACUUGGAACUAUGCUGUGAGAUUGGCAAAUCAUCUACCUAGACGCAGCGGAACAUGUGUUACGGCUCAUCUCCUUCAGACCAGAGGCUGUUCCAGCUUCUUGUGAAAGUCAAGUCCAGAAUGUGCUCAGUAAUGAAAGUAAAUAGGGCACAGAACAUGAGAACAUGAACAGGCCUGGAGAAGAGAUGUCCCAAGUCCAUCAUUGCGCAAAGGAGGAAACUGAAGCCCAGAGAGGAAGACAAGUGACCCAGGAUGACAGCUACUGAGUGGAGCAGAGUCAUACCUGGCCCUGAAUCUUCAGACUUCCAGCCUGAGCCUCCCAAGCCUCAUCUUUUGUUGUUUGGCAAAAAGGGCUGCAUAGCAAUGCAAAGUCAGGUGGAACGGAGCACAGGCCUAAGCUUGGCAAAUGUCCCUGAAAACCUGUUGCGAUGAUUAAAAGUUAAUAUGUGUUGGGCGCUUCACACAGUGUCUGGGCCAUAGCAGAUGCUCAGAAGAGGGCUGUCCAUGGGAAAAGUCCACACUGGGUCAUCCCAAGAAAGAUGGGUUUGUUGUGCCCGUGCUUUCACCCGCAUCAAGCCCACAAUUACCCAGUGUCCAUUCCAUGAAGGUGUGGAAAAGGGUCUUUGAUCAAUUUAAAGAUUAGUUUGGUAGUCAUAGAUAGAUAGAGUGAAUGCAACAUGAAGAGAAAAGUCUCAAUGUUUUUUCUAGGAACUGCUAUAGGAAUGAGUUUGGUGACUUUCACUAUCUGAGAUCCCUUAUCUGCAUCUCUAAGCCUGAGGCUCAGCCUGAAUGAAGGACCAGUGUUUCCCCCAUGUGCAGUCUGAGGCCCACUUGGAAAUGCUCCCCUGGGCUUGGAAAAUUCCCCAAGGGGAGAAAGAUCCAUGUCAGUCCCUACCCAGGGCUUCCAGCAUGGAGGUGGCUGGAGGAGGCAGGCUGGCUGGCUCUGCAUUCUUCAUGCCCCUGUUCUCUAUGGCAGGCCUCCUGCAGUCUCUGUGCUGACAUUAAGUGGUCUGAGCAGUGCUGUGGGAGGACAUGGUAAACUUGCCUGCUUGUAACAGAGAAGCGAGGGCUUUGGUGACUUCCAAGAUUUAAGCAUACAUUUUUCCAAAUCUUUUGGACCCUAACAUGCAUGGUCUGAGAACUUCUUGGCUCACUGCUGAAUCCCCUUAACCCCACAGCCACCCGUUUGUUCACUGUCCUCAUUAUGCUCCCUCCCUGUCCCUGCCUAGGGCAACAGGAGCCUCAGAGCCUUGUAUACAACCACUGUGGCUGUAUUUUCCUUAUUUUGAUACAGAACUCACUCCAGGCUUCAUUUCCUUCUCCUCCUAUUUCAAACCCUCUCUUGCCUGGGACUUCCCAGCCUCAACCUUGUUGACAUCACUCCCAGGUUCUCCUUUCUGGCUUUCAUCUAGCUGCUUCUCAGUGCAGCAUCUUUGAAUCCACCCCUUCAGCAACACACUCAACAGUUACAAGCACCUGAAGUCCUGUUCUUGGGGCCAACCCAGUAACCAGAUCUAGGUUGGGCUCAGGGCCAAGGUGCAGGGGAGAUAGAAACGUUUCCAACAAUAUCUAAAUUCAAUUUCUGUGACAGCCAGUGUCAUUGCCCUCAUCCAUCCCAUGCCCAGUAUCCUUUGGGCCCUAAAGUUUCAGUAUCUACAUCUUUGUACAUGAGGGUUUUUACCCCUUCCUUUCCUUAGAAGUGCCACAGCCCCCAGAGUAGCUUUCAACAAACACUAACAACACUAACAAGAGGUGGUGUGUAAAUACUCCAGCUUCCCUGUGCCUCAGGUGGUAAGGCUCUGAGAAGUGGGUUUCCCACCACGGUCUUUCCAUGGGUUAAGGUCUCAGCCAGGGUAACUGGUUUAGUAACUCACAUGUUAUUGGCAGCUUUCACUUCUCUACCACACCCCUCCAGUGGACCCUACAUCUUCCAAAUAAACCUCUUGUGCUCAAAUCUGUGUCUUAAAGUUAGCUUCCAGGGAAAGCCAAAGUAAGACAGUUUUGAAACUCAUUCCUUGGUGGGAAAUUGGAAAUGGACCAAGACUAGAAAGGAUGAGUAGGCUGUUGUCAUGCCACACCGACGGAGGUGCUCAAUCUGGGCUCUAAGCAGUGCCCAGCCUACACACGCGACCUUGAUGGAGGUCACCCCCCUCCAUGUGAAGCCCUCAGCAGCUCACCCACCUCACCCUGGUCCUGGCCCCACCUGUGGAGGAAUCUGAAGUGGCAUCCUGAAUGCUAAUUCUUAUUAUCUGUAAUAGCAUCACCAGUUUGGAGUUGCCUGAUAAUUUCAUAUCUAUGCAAUUAUUGUUAAUGUAACUAUCUUCCAUUUUAGAAUGUGAUCUCUGAAAGAUCUUGUGCUAGUUUGAAUCAUUUUCAGAUUAUGUAAUAGGACACUGUGAGGACUAAAUUGUUUUUCCUUUCUCCCUAAAUUCAUCUUGGAGCCCUAAACCUCAAUGUGACUGUAUUUGGAGAUAAAGCCUUUAAUUAGGUAAGUAAGGGUACAUGAGGUCAUAAAGAUGGGGCCCAGAUCUGAUAGGACUGUUGGUAACAGACACCAGAAAUCUCCUCUCCUGUGCACUCAAAGAGACUCUAUGUGCCCAGAGCGAGACGGUGGCUGCCCAGAAGCCAAAAGAAGAGGCCUCAGCGUGCAACCUACCUUUCCAUGC
ensembl:lncRNA